UACGGAGGGUGCAAGCGUUAUCCGGAUUCACUGGGUUUAAAGGGUGCGUAGGCGGAUAGGUAAGUCCGUGGUGAAAUCCUGCAGCUUAAUUGCAGAACUGCCGUGGAUACUAUCUAUCUUGAAUGUCGUGGAGGUUAGCGGAAUAUGUCAUGUAGCGGUGAAAUGCUUAGAUAUGACAUAGAACACCCAUUGCGAAGGCAGCUAACUACGCGAUAAUUGACGCUGAUGCACGAAAGCGUGGGGAUCAAACAGG
rnacentral:rRNA from 1 species